ACAGGUGCCUGCCACUACACCCAGCUAAUUUUUGUAUUUUUAGUAGAGACAGGGUUUUACCAUGUUGGCCAGGCUGGUCUCGAGCUGCUGACCUCGUGAUCCGCCUGCCUCGGCCUCCAAAAGUGCUGGGAUUACAGGUGUGAGCCACCGCACCCAGCCUUAUUCUUUAUUAACAUGGUACUUUGUAUCACUGGCUGUUUGAAUUACUCCUCUGAAAGCUUCUACCCGGGUAAUCUUUCAUUCAAGACCUGCCGUAUUUGCAUGUGCCCCUUUAUACCGUUUGUUUCUUUAUUUUUACAAAAAAAUUUAAAAAUAUGGACUGCUUUAUGAAUUAGCAUGUCAUCCUUGUGCAGGGCACAUACUAAUCUUCCCUGUACCAUUCCAAUUUUAGUAUUUGUGUUGUGGAAGUGAGCACUCUAUUCCUGUUUUUAUCUGGACAAAAUAGUAUUUUAAAAAUGUAUUAUGGGCUGGGCUAACAUGGUGAAACCCCGUGGCUACUAAAAAUACAAAAAAUUAGCCAGGCAUGGUGGCAGGCACCUGUAGUCCCAGCUACUCGGGAGGCUGAGGCAGGAGAAUGGCGAGAACCCAGGAGGCAGAGCUUGCAGUGAGCCGAGAUCACGCCACUGCACUCCAGCCUGGGCAACAGAGCGAGACUCCGUCUCAAAAAAAAAAAAAAUAAAAGUAUAUUACGUUAUUAAAAACUUUAUGAUUGAAGUAUAUAAUACAUAUACAGAAAAAUGCAUGUAAAAGUGGAAUUUGAUGUUUUUUUCCCACAAACUGAAUAUACCCAUGUAAGCAGCACCUAGAUCUAGAUCAAGAAACAGCGUUACCAGUACCUAGAAGCCCCUAUCCAGUUCCCUUUCAGUUCCUGUCUCCCCUCUACCACCCAGGGUAAUCACCAUCCUGACUUCUGACAGCAUAGAUUAUUUUGCUCUUUUUUUGUACUUUUGUAAAAAUUGAAUCAUAUAGUAUAUAUUGUUUGUGGUCUGGCUCCUUUUAUUUAACACUAAUGUGACCGUGCAAAAAUUUUUAGUGGUUUUUAGAUUUGGAAUAAAAUUCAAAUUUCAGCUUUUUUUUUUUUUUUUUUUUUUUUUUGAGACAGUCUCGUUCUGUCGCCCAGGCUGGAGUGCAGUGGCGCGAUCUCAGCUCACUGCAACCUCCACCUCCUGGGUUCAAGCCGUUCUCCGCCUCAGCCUCCCAAGUAGCUGGGAUUAAAGGUGCCUACCACCACGCCUGGCUAAUUUUCGUGUUUUUAGUAGAGACGGAGUUUCACCAUGUUAUGUUGGCCAGGCUGGCCAUGAACUCCUGACCUCUUGAUCCACUCACCUCAGCCUCCCAAGGUGCUGGGAUUACAGGCGUGAGCCACUGUGCCUGGCCAUUUCAGUUCUUUAUUUUGACCUAUAAUGCCCUGUAUAGCCCGUCUCCUGGCUACUUUUCGGGUAGGCAAUUGGCAUUUUAUGCCAAUCUCAUUGCCCAUUAUGCCUCUGUUACGCUAACUUCUUAUUUUUAUUCUUAUUUUAUUUAAUUUUUAGAGAUGGGGUCUUACAAUAUUGCUCAGGCUGGUCUCAAACUCCUGGCCUCAAGCUGUCCUUUGGCCUCCAGAGUAGCUGAGAUUACAGGCAUGAGCCACUGGCCUUAUUUAUUUUUAAACUCAGUGAGCUGUUUCCUACCUCAGGGCCUUUGUAUGCAUGGCUCUGUCUUCCUCGAACACUUCUUUUCCCUGCUCUUUGCAUGGCUGCCUUCAUGCCUGAGCUUAUGUAUAAAUAUCAGGGAUACUUUUUCUCAUCAUCGUGUCUUGCUAGUCCUUUCCCAUUAUUCCCUAUUACUGGCUUCUGUUGCCUCCUUUCAUAGCACCUAUUGCAAUUUAUGAUUAUAUAUCUGCGUGCAUGAUUAUUAUGUCUUCCCUGCUAGAUUCCAUGAAAGCAGAGAACUCAUCUGUUUUGUUCUCCAGUGUAUCUCUAGUGCCUAACACAGUGACUGACAUAGAGUAGGUAUUUAAUAAAUAUUUAAUGGCCAUAUUCCCAAUUCAGCACCUUUGGUCCCAUUAUCUUUUGUCCUUUCCUCUUAUGCUGUUUAACUAUUUAAAUCUUUUCCACCCCUCAAGACUGAGCUCAGUUCUCCCUCUUUGAAGUCUAUCAUGGUUUUGCAACAGUUAAUCUUUCUUCUCUAAAAUUUUAUAGCAUUUAUUGCCAGUACCACCUUGUGUUCAUGGAAAAUCACACUAUCACAUAUCUUAUUUUACCUAGUUGUAUCAAAAGCUUCUUAUUUUCUCAGAAAUCUUGUAGCUUGUUAUGCCAGUACCCCUCAUAUUUUUGGUUAACUUGACCAGCUUCUAUUAAUAUCUUAAUUAGCUAAUUUGACUGGAAGCUUCUCGAUCAGAAGCUGUUUUAGCUAAUGCCCUCCUCAGUUAUUUUCACUGGCACAUAGUAGGUCUUUAGUAGAGUUUUUGAUGACCAAUGAUAUUUAUGUAUAGGUAGCAAUUUUAAUUUCUUAAGCUUAUUAACUUGGAUUCUUUUUAUUAGAAUCCUGCUUAGUAUUUUCUCUAAUCUAAAGGCCGGGAGUGCACCAACUGCUUCCGGCGAUAUAGAGACUAUUAGGGUGUGAAAGUACAGGAGUCCAGUCCUAAUGCCACAAAGCAGAUUCUCCUUUGGAACUUGUCACUGGUGUAGAAUUAACUAUGCAGAGUUCCUUCUUAGAAAAAAUGCUUUAUCAGUGCUUGUUUAAUGUUCUCAGAUUGGAAUUACUAACAGAAACAAGACACUAGGUAGUACUUUAUUUGAAUUUUCUGUUGACUAACAUUUUAUUUUGAUGUCAACAAAGCAAAUCUUGAGCCAAUUAAAUCUGCUUAAAGCUGCUUUGUCUGAUGGGUAAGCUCUCUCAGUAGUUACUCUUCCUCUUGUGUUAAAGGCAGAAGAAUGUUCUAUAAGCCAAUUUAAAUGCAAAUUUAAAUUAGUAGCAACUUAGUUGAUUUAACUCAGUACAUAUUUCAAAUUAAGUGGUAAAUUUAAAUUAGUUUUUAGGAGGUACCUACUGUGUAUUUUAAAUCAGUGAUUAUUUUGGCUUUUCUGAUGAAACUACAUCAGAAUAUUACAGGGUAAUGUAGUAAUUGGUUUGUUUUUGUUUUUGUUUUUUGAGACGGAAUUUUACCCUUGUUGCCCAUGCUGGAGUGCAGUGGCGUGAUCUUGGCUCACUGCAACCUCCACCUCUUGGGUUCAAGCGAUUCUUCUGUCUCAGCCUCCCGAGUAGCUGGAACUACAGGCGCAUGCCACCAUGCCCAGCUCAUUUUUGUAUUUUUAGUAGAGACAGGGGUUUCACCAUGUUGGCCAGGCUGGUCUCGAACUCCUGACCUCAAGUAAUCCGCCUGCCUUGGCUUCCCAAAGUGUUGGGAUUACAGGCAUGAGCCACCGCGUCUGGCGUGAUACUGAUAUUAUUAGCCAUUGGCUAUGUGACAGGCACUAUCCUAAGCAUUUUUCAUACAUUAGUUUAUUUACUCAUUCACUCAACAAAUAUUUAUUGAGUACCUAUCAUGUUUCAAGCUCAUAAUCUCAUGUAUUCUUCACCACACCCAUGAAGUAAGUAUAUAGUUUAUUAUUUUAACCCCAUUUUACAGAUGAGGAACUGGUACACACAGAAGCUAGAUAUCCAGUGUCACAAGCUGUUGAGGGUCAGAUACUGAGGUUUUUUAAAAGAAUGCCAGUUAGUGACAUCUUUGGCAUGAAUUAAUUCUAUGCUAGAUUUUUAUCUUUGGGAGGGGAGCAGUAAUCAAAUUUUUUUUUUUGAGACAGAGUCUCGCUCUGUAGCCCAGGCUGGAGUGCAGUGGUGUGAUCUCGGCUCACUGCAAGCUCUGCCUCCCGGGUUCACGCCAUUCUCCUGCCUCAGCCUCCCGAGUAGCUGGGACUACAGGUGCCCGCCACCACGCCUGGCUAAUUUUUUUGUAUUUUUAGUAGAGAUGGGGUUUCACCAUGUUAGCCAGGAUGGUCUCAAUCUCCUGACCUCGUGAUCCGCCCUCCUCAGCCUCCCAAAGUGCUGGGGUUACAGACCUGAGCCACCGUGCCUGGCCAGUAAUCAAAUUUUGAAGUCUCUGGUAAACUGUAGUCAAAAUGAUUAGAACAGAAUGUGAUAAGCUAAACUGAGAUUACUUCUUCUCUUACCCCCAACCCAUCUCUUUUUUUUUUUUUUUUUGAGAUGGAGUCUUGCUCUGUCAGCUCACUGCAACCUCUGUCUCCCGGGUUCAAGGGCUUCUCCUGCCUCAGCCCCCUGAAUAGCUGGGAUUACAGGCACCUGCCACCACAGCUGGUGAAUUUUUGUAUUUUUAGUAGAGACGGUGUUUCACCAUGUUGGCCAGGCUAGUCUUGAACUCCUGGCCUCAGGUAAUCUGCCCACCUCCGCCUCCCAAAGUGCUGGGAUUAAACGCAUGAGCCACCAUGCCUGGACCCAACCCUUUUUUUUUUUUUUUUUUUUUUUUUUUUUUGAGACAGAGUCUUGCUCUUGCCACUCAGGUCAGGGUGCAAUGGCACGAUCUCGGCUCACUGCAACCUCCAUCUCCCAGGUUCAAGUGAUUCUCCUGCCUCAGCCUCUCAAGUGGCUGGGAUUACAGGCGCCUGCCACCAUGCCUGGCUAAUUUUUGUAUUUUUAGUAGGCAGGGUUUUGCCAUGUUGGCCAGGCUGGUCUCGAACUCCUGACCGCGUGAUCUGCCUGCCUUGGCCUUCCAAAGUGCUGGGAUUACAGGCGUGAGCCACUGCGCCUAGCCUAACCCAUCUUUUACAAGAAAAAUUUCACAGAACAACAAACAAUAUGGAAAGUCUUUAUUUUGGAAAAUCGCAGUUUAUUCAAACCAAGGUGAACCGAGUAUAAAAAGAUGAGUGGAUAUAAAUAACCAUAUUAAAUACUGUGCCUUCAGGGGCACUCUGGAAGCAAAUAUAAUGGAAGUAUGAGUUUAAAUGUUUAAAUUAGACAAUUUCAGUUGUUUUUCAUUACUUUUCAGUAUCAUUUGACUGCUUUUACACAGAUCUGGUAUGAUAUUUCACAUUUCCAAUUUUGUUACUAUGUAGUUUCAUAGUCAUCUCUGGGGCAACUGUAAGGUAUUAUGACUGCCUUUUUUUUUAAAGAGACAGGUUCUCAUUCUGUUGCCCAGGCUGGAGUGCGGUGGCUCAAUAAUAGCUCACUACAACUUUGAACUCCUGGGCUCAAGCGAUCCUCCUGCCUCAGCCUCCUGAGUAGCUAGGGCUACUAGUGCAUGCCACCAUGCCUGGCUAAUUAAAUUUUUUUUUUUUUGGUAGGGGCAAGAUUUAUGUAUUAUUUUUGUUUUGUUUUGUUUUGUUUUGUUUUGAGAUGGAGUCUCCCUCUAUGGCUCAUGCUGGAGUGCAGUGGCGCGAUCUUGGCUCACUGCAACCUCCGCCUCCUGGGUUCAAGCUAUUCUUCUGCCUCAGCCUCCUGAGUAUCUGGGAUUACAGGCACCCACCACCACGCUGGGCUAAUUUUUGUAUUUUUAGUAGAGAUGAGGUUUCACUGUGUUGUCCAGGCUGGUCUUGAACUCCUGACCUCAGGUGAUCUGCCUGCCUUGGCUUCCCAAAGUGCUGGUAUUAUAGGCAUGAGCCACCGUGCCUGGCGAGACAGGUCUUGAUAUGUUACCCAGGCUGAUCUUGAAUUCCUGGCCUCAAACGAUCCUCCUGCCUCAGCCUUCCAAGGUGCUGGGAUUAUAGGUAGGCACCACUGUGCCUGGCCUAGGACGGCUUUUUAAAAACAAACAUCAGAACUCUCCAAAUGGGAAGUUAUUUUUUUUUUAUUGAGACAGGGUCUCACUCUGUUACCCAGGCUGGACUCCAGUGGCAUGAUCACAGCUCACUGCAGCCUUGAACUCCCGGGCCCUAGCAGUCCUCUCACUUUAGCCUCCCUAGUAGCUAGGACUAUAGGCACGCACUACCACAUCUACUAAUUCUUGUAUCUUUUGUUAGAAAUGGGAUUUUGGCAUGUUGCCAGGCUGGUCUGCAACUCCUGGGCUCAGUGAUCCUCAUACCUUGGCCUUCCAAAAUGUUGGGAUUACAGGCGUGAGCCACUGCUCCCUGCCUUGGAAAGUUAUGUAUUUAUUUUAGUGACAUUUCCAAAUUCUGAAAUAUUUGGUAUAUUUCUUUUGAAUUUGUCUUUAGAGCAUAUUACGUGUUCUUAAUUCUGGUAAGUCAUCAUUGUGCAGGUGCUUAUAUUUAACUUUUGGAGAUAGGAAAGUCUGGUGAAGGAAGUGAGUGGUCAGCAUUGUUUUUGGCCACAAAUGAAAUGUUAUUCUAAAAGGUGGAGACUAGCAUUUUGUGUGUGUGUGAGGUUUGUCUUUGAGAAUCCUAUAAAUGGCACGUCAAAAAAGUUUUGAGUCUUGGCCACAUGAUUGGAAGAUGCGCCCAGUCAUCCCAAUCCUUGGAAGGUCUUACCUCCCAAGAUGGCGCCAUUGAAUAACAGCACUUGUUUUCAGUGCUGAAACCUCUAUAAAACAAAUCAUGGUAUGAAUAUGACCCAUAUUACAAUUAAAUUGGAAUUCUCUUAAUGAAAGGGAUUACAGGCACCCGCCACCACGCCUGGCCCAUUUAAGUUUAUAAUUCAGAUAUUUUGAAGAAUUCUUAGUCAUUGAGGACUAAUGAUGAAACCAGUUGCUGACUUCUAUAUGACAGCUACAGUACUUAAGUACCUUUUAUGUGUUUAUUUAAUCUCUUUUCAGCAACCCAUUAGGGUAGAUAUUAAUGAGGAUAACUAUUAUUAUCCUCAUUUUGCAGAGGAAAAAACUAAGUCCCUAAGAUGUGAGAUCGGUUUGACCCAAGGUCAGUGCCAAGCUAGGAUUUGACCUUGAGUUUACUCUUGAACAUUACAUUGUUUUAACACAUAAUGAUUUUAUGAACUGUGUACUGCCCUGUAAGUAAAUGAGGUCAACAUUGUCUUAUGUUUCCUAGGAUUGAAAGAAAGCCAUUUUUAGAUCUUGAUGGACUUAAAGAUUCAUUAAAUGGAAGACUUUACAGAAGUAUACAGAAACUAGUUAAAUAUAGAAGAUUCUUAUAGAGAUAUUUAGAAAAUGUAGUUAGGGUGUGUAAACAAAGUAAUGGUCCCUGGUAGAUUUAAAUCAGGAAUACCAGUUUUUAUGCUUCUUGCCACAGCUGUAAUGGAGUAUAAUAUGAUAUAUUCUUAGUGUAAUUUGAUAAAAUUAGACAUUUUCCAACAUAUGCGAAAAUAUUUUCUGUAGGAACUUGAGGACUUAUCAUUAUGUUAGAAUUUUGUUUUGAGACUAGAUCCUAGGGCAGUUUUAAAGUGACUACCAGAAUCUUAAAGACAUGUGAUGGAAAAAUAGAUGGGAGGACAGUUAAUGGAGCAGGGAGAAUUAAUACGGAAAUAAUAAGGUAACUUAGAGGGAGAGAAAAGGAAAAUAAAGGAAAGAAUCCCAGCACUUUGGGAGGCUGAGGCGGGCGGAUCACGAGGCCAGGAGAUCGAGACCACCCUGGCUAACACAGUGAAACCCCGUCUCUACUAAAAAUACAAAAAAAAAAAAAAAAAAUUAGCCAGGUGUGGUGGCAGGCGCCUGUAAUCCCAGCUACUCAGGAGGCUGAGGCAGGAGAAUGGCGUGAACCCAGGAGGCAGAGCUUGCAGUGAGCCGAGAUCAUGCCACUGCACUCCAGCCUGGGCGACAGAGCAAGACUCCGUCUCAAAAAAAAAAGAAAAGAAAAAGAAGACAGGGUCUUACUCUGUUCCCUAGGCUGGAAUGCAGUAUGUGAUCAUGACUCACUGCAGCCUUGAUCUCCCAGGCUCAAGCAGUCCUUCCACCUCAGCCUCCCCAAGUAGCUGGGACUACAGGCACAAACCACCAUGCCUGGUAAUUAAAAAAAAAUUUUUUUUUUGUAGAGAUGGGGGUCUGGCUAUGUUGCCCAGGCUGGUGUUGAACUCUUGGCCUCAAAUGAUCCUCCCACUGUGGCCUCCCAAAGUUCUGUGAGUUUUGACAAAUGUAUACUGUCCAACAACCACCACCACAAUCAAGAUUUUGCACAGUUCCAUCACCUCUGCAAAGUCCCUUCUGCUCUUUUGUAGUCUACCCCAAUUCUUACCCUCAGGCAACCACUGCGUUGUUUUCUAUUCCUAUCGUUUUGCCUUUUCCAGAAUGUUCUGUAAGUGGUAGUCUGUAGUCUGUAGCCUUUUAGUCUGGCUUAUUUCACUUAGCAUCGUAUUUUUGAGGUUCAUCCACAUUAUUGCAUGUAUCAGCAGCUCAUUCCUUUACAUUGCUGAGUAGUAUUCUAUUGUAUAGAUGUAUUAUAGUUUGUUUAUUGACCAGUUGAGGAGCAUUUGGGUUGUGUGUGUGUGUGAUAGAGUCUCACUCUGUUGCCCAGGCGGGGGCUGCAGCCUCAACCUCCCAGGCUCAAUGAUUCUCCUACCUCAGCC
rnacentral:lncRNA from 1 species